ensembl:snoRNA
AGUCUCUUGUGAUGUUUUGCACUGGGCUCAGACAUUCCGUGGUGCUGAUGUGCGGCUCUGCUUAAGACACGGCAGAGUCUGAAGAGACC